rnacentral:rRNA from 1 species
UACGGGGGGGGCAAGCGUUGUUCGGAAUUACUGGGCGUAAAGGGCUCGUAGGCGGCCAACUAAGUCAGACGUGAAAUCCCUCGGCUUAACCGGGGAACUGCGUCUGAUACUGGAUGGCUUGAGUUUGGGAGAGGGAUGCGGAAUUCCAGGUGUAGCGGUGAAAUGCGUAGAUAUCUGGAGGAAUACCGGUGGCGAAGGCGGCAUCCUGGACCAUUACUGACGCUGAGGCGCGAAAGCCAGGGGAGCGAACGGG